rnacentral:lncRNA from 1 species
GCUAAAGCUUUUCCCUCCACUCUACUCUGGUAUUAGUUAUAAGAGAGAGCCAAAUUGCGAAAGCGUAAGAGAGAGUAUAUUCUGUCCAGCGCUUUCUUCAAGGCUAGAAGAGGGAGCCCGUGGGGAUGGCUAAUCUAAUAAAAAAUCUAUCUUUCAAAAUUGCCAAAACCUAAGCUCAGACUGGACUAACUGUAAAAAUUCACAAAGAGAUUUCUCCUAAGGACUUUCACUGGUUGUGAGCUUGAUAGCCAAGCAAUCUGAGUGGCUUUCGCUCCUGGUAAAAUUUCUCUCCAAGAUUUAGAAUUUCAAGUCGAUUUAGCAAGAGUCAGUCAGUGUGAUGGAGUCUUGUAAUGGUUCUAUCUAUCUUAG